UACAAUAAUUUGAAUCUUUAUUACAAUUAAAAAACUUUUUUUUAUCGCCUAACGUCACCCCUCUCCAACCGUCGUCGAAGCCCUAGCCACUCUCCAACGCCGUCAUCAACAUGCCGCCAUCCCUAGCCAACCAUCCUCAUCGACGAGCUCCAACUCCUUUCCGAUCUUCGUCCUUGACAAGAAUCAGUCCCUCCUUCAAUCGCUGUUGCCGACGAUGCCAGAGCCACCACUCGUAAACUAUCCGAUUCAAGUGUUCAGUUGGUGUUCUUUAUUUGCUGAUUUCUUUUUCUUCAUUUUCUAGAUCCUUCUACAUCUUCUGAAAGUUUCAGUAGCUGAAAUUACCAUCUUGCCCCUACCGAAAACUAUAAGAGAGAGACGAGAAAACCUAUUGCUCACUGAGUCGCUAGACGAGAAGAAAACCUACUGACUCACUGAGUCGCUAGAAUUUCAACGUCUCGAAACGCUUUGGAUCAAUAAUGACCAUAAUGCAAACAGAAUAACAGUACAAGCAAAAGCUUGCUGCUCUUCUGAAAUCUACUGUCGAUAAGUUUCAGCUUCUUCCUGAGUUUUGAAGGUGAGAGGAUUGGUGAAACAACAUUUGGACUCGUUUAGUUACUUUGUUAAUAUUGGUGUAAAGAAGAUUGUUCGUGCCAAUGAUCGCAUUGUGUCGGGAAUUGAUCCAAGUAUCUUCCUUAGGUAAAAAUGUGAGUGCCCUCUAGAUCCUGGAGGAUAUUUUAUCGUUAAAGGAACUUAGAAGUUAAUACUCUGAUCAUGCUUUGGAAUAUUAAUACAAGAGAAAGUGUUGGUAUGUUAAACUAACCAUGUACAUAUGUGUGAACAUAUGAUCAAGGGGUUUGGAAUUCUAUGCAAUGUUAGAUGCCAAGUUUUGCUAUUCCUUUUGCUAUUCCUAGAAUAGGUAAAGAUAAAAGUGGAGGAAACAAUUAUUAACGGCACAAUAACUAGAAUCUUGGUUGAUACCAUUUGCAAUGAUGGCCACUCUUAUUGAUUUUGCUACUGUGUGAACUAUUUUUUAAAGGGUUCUAAUCUUUUGUUGAUGCAAUUAAAAUGUGCUUUGAAUUGGAGGAUAUAAUCUAAACUAUUUUAAUCUUGUAAGGUGAGAGAGAAAGAAUCAACUAUAUUUAUUUUGAUGGGACAUGAAAAAAAAUUUAAGUUCUAGUAGGAACAUUCUAGUUAGCAUACAUUUAAAGUCCCUUUAUACUCUGAUAUCUUUCUUAGUCAUACAAAAUGCUGGCGGGAAGCACUGAGAGUUUGUCAAGAAGGAAGCAUAAACAUGUAAAAUGUAAUUGACAUAAAGGAUAAAUGAUAGUGAAAUUGACAUAAUAAGAUAGAUGAAACAUUCUAUUGACCGUUAAACCUGAAGACUUAAAACUGAUCACUAGCACUAGCAUUUAUAUUCAAAUAUGUUGCUUUAAGUGUAUAUGUGAAUAUUCAAUCAACUUGAAUAUGAAAUAUUUUAUUGAUUAAAAGAUGUUAGAUAUUACUGUGUCAGCCUUGAGUUAGUCAUCUUUUUGGUUUGCAUUUCUCGAAUGGAUUUUAUUGUUCAUGUAUUUUAUCAUUUCAUGCAGUUUGUGAAUUUUACUUGGCUUGGGAAGUUUUGUUUCAUCCAUAGUUUUUCUCUAAAGUGUUUUAUUUAGCUUAACUUAUUGUCCUUUACUUUGGUAUUUGGUUAUUAGGAUUUAAUGACAUCACAUAUCUUUUAAAGGUGAUAUUAAUGCAAGAGCAACUUUCAAAGAAUAGAAUAAUUAUUGAUAUUGACAAGAAGGGGAAGUGAGUAGUUUGUAUGGUUUUGUAUGCUUUUUCCUUAUACAGUGUUUGAUUCUUCCUUGAUCUUUUUAUGUAGGAUAAAGUUAUAUAUACAAGUUAUGAGGCUUUCUUGGCUCAAUUUUAAGUGAUUUAGUUGAGUUUUUCUUUUGUUUGUUUAAUUUUUUGAUAUUAAUUGCUAUUCAUUAUAUGUUUAUCCAUUUUAAUGUGAAGUUGUUUCUUGUUUCUUAUAAAAAAAUUAUCCAUUCAUCCCAUUUCUAUUGAGAAUUGUAUUCUUCUCUGAUAGGAACCCACUCCAAUAACUCAACAAUUUAGGCUGGGCCAUGAGUCUUUCAUGGGUUUGGGUAGAACUCUCCUUGG